UACCCUGUAGAUCCGAAUUUGUGAUUAUUUGAAGACACGAAUUCGUUUCUACGGGUGACA
rnacentral:pre_miRNA from 1 species